UACGAAGGGGGCGAGCGUUGUUCGGAAUUACUGGGCGUAAAGGGCGCGCAGGCGGCUCAGACAGUCAGAUGUGAAAGCCCCGGGCUUAACCUGGGAACUGCAUUUGAUACUACUGGGCUUGAGUACGGGAGAGGAUAGUGGAAUUCCCAGUGUAGAGGUGAAAUUCGCAGAUAUUGGGAAGAACACCGGUGGCGAAGGCGGCUAUCUGGACCGUAACUGACGCUGAGGCGCGAAAGCGUGGGGAGCAAACAGG
rnacentral:rRNA from 1 species